rnacentral:rRNA from 1 species
AUGGCUCUGCAACUGCAUCAUGAAAAUGUAGUAAAGUUGGAGGGCUACUGCCAUGAAGCCCAAAAGAAAGUGGUGCAGAACAAUGGAAGAUAUAUUGUUGCAGACAUUGUUGAAAGUUUACUCUGCUACGAGUACUUGCCGCAGGGGAACCUUCAGAAGAAUCUUUUUGAAGUAUCCAAUGAUGGAAUGGACUGGGACACACGCUUCAAAAUCAUCAAGGGGAUCUACCAAGGUUUAGCCUUCCUACACAGCAUUAACAUUGUCCAUAUGGAUCUUAAACCUGAGAACAUAUUGCUGGAUGAUAAGAUGAUCCCGAAAAUUGCUGAUUUCGGUCUCUCGAGACUCUUCGGCCAAGAACAAACACGGAUGAAAACACAAAAUGUUGUUGGAUCGUAG